rnacentral:rRNA from 1 species
AUUGAACGCUGGCGGCAGGCCUAACACAUGCCAGUCGAACGGUAACAGGAAACAGCUUGCUGUUUCGCUGACGAGUGGCGGACGGGUGAGUAAUGUCUGGGAAACUGCCUGAUGGAGGGGGAUAACUACUGGAAACGGUAGCUAAUACCGCAUAACGUCGCAAGACCAAAGAGGGGGACCUUCGGGCCUCUUGCCAUCGGAUGUGCCCAGAUGGGAUUAGCUAGUAGGUGGGGUAACGGCUCACCUAGGCGACGAUCCCUAGCUGGUCUGAGAGGAUGACCAGCCACACUGGAGCUGAGACACGGUCCAGACUCCUACGGGAGGCAGCAGUGGGGAAUAUUGCACAAUGGGCGCAAGCCUGAUGCAGCCAUGCCGCGUGUAUGAAGAAGGCCUUCGGGUUGUAAAGUACUUUCAGCGGGGAGGAAGGGAGUAAAGUUAAUACCUUUACUCAUUGACGUUACCCGCAGAAGAAGCACCGGCUAACUCCGUG